rnacentral:lncRNA from 10 species
GGGGAAACGCCUGCGUGGAUGUAAACGGGGCGGGAGGCUCGGUGCAGGUAAGGGGAAACGCCUGCGUGGAUAUAAACGGGAAUGGAGGCUCGGUGCAGGUAAGGGGAAACGCCUGCGUGGAUGUAAACGGGGCGGGAGGCUCGGUGCAGGUAAGGGGAAACGCAUGCGUGGAUAUAAAUGGCGCGGCAGGCUUGAUGUUGGUACUCGCUUCUCAGUUCUGUCCUGUGGCUACUCGGCCCUGACACUGGUCAACGCGGCGAGCUUGGCACUUCUUUUCCCCGCUGCUUCUCCUCAGGUGCUGACUGCAAGGGGCAGAAUGAGUAAGGUCUUUCCCACGGGGUUCCCUUCCCUUCCCUUCCCGCGUCUCGGGCCUAUUUCCCGGAAAGCUAUUAUUCCCCCCGCUGACUAAGUGGUGCCGAAAGCGUCUGAGGGACUCCAAACUCCUCUUCAGGCUUAUCGUGAGCUGGUGUAGACAGAGGUGUUUCCAUGCUUUAACCCAACCCUUCUACUCAUGUAACUUUCCCAGCAGCUCCAAGGGCAGCCAAGGCCCCAGCUAAGGUUUUUGUUCUUACCAGAAGUAAAUACAAAGAAAUGUUGGUAACUUGCUGAGAUACAGAAAGUGUGAUGAGAGUCAGAUAUGCUGCAUCCUGCUGCCCCAGGAGGCUGGGGUGACUCCUUCCCGUCUGCGGACAUGUGGGGACACACCAUGAGAGCCUCAAGGCUUCGCUGCCAAUAGCAGAAUUUCAAAGAGAGACAGAACCGUCUUGGUUAUUACCAAGUCAAGGAAGAAGGGAAUGGAAUAUUCUGGAUCAAGAUGCCUUCAAAGUCCGUGUUCACUGUUGGCCCAAAUGACACAUGACAUCCACUCACCGAUCCUGUUUUGGUCAAAAAUUGGCCUGGCUGGUUGGGCUUGGUGGCUGACGCCUGUAAUCCCAGCACUUUGGGAGGUCGAGGUGGUCGGAUCAUGAGAUCAGGAGUUUGAGACCAGCCUGGCCAACAUGGUGAAACCCUGUCUCUACUAAAAAUACAAAAAUUAGCUGGGCGUGGUGGCUCGUGCCUGUAAUCCCAGCCACUUGGGAGGCUGAGGGAUGAGAACUGCUUGAACCCAGGAGGCAGAGGUUGCAGUGAGCUGAGAUGGCGCCACUUCACUCCAGCCUGGUGACAGAGCGAGACUCCGUCUCAAAAAAAAAAAAAAAAAAAAGUGGCUGUGGGCGUAAAAAUCACAGGAUGCCCAAACUUCUUAUGCCAAAGGGAAGAUUAAGCCUGGAGUGAGAAUCAUGCAACGCUGCAUCCGUAUGGACAGCUGUCAUGAAUAGGAUACAUCAGCCAGGUCCCCACAGAAAGGUGGAGGCCACAGCCGUCUGCAAGUGCUCCCACAGAUCUUUCAUCAGUACAUUCUUUGCUGGCCUCCCAUAAACAAGGACAUGCCAAUCAUAAAUUUAGGUGUGCAAUGUAAGUCCAGCUCCUAAAAUGAGAGUCUGUUCCAUUCUAUGCUGAUAAUGUCCUUUACAAGCUUGUCCUCCCAGGGGCAGGCCAAAGACAAGACGAGAUCAAGUGUUCCUCCACCUACCCAGAGAAGUCUGCAAAAUGGAUUCCUCCUUUGCUCCCUUUUCUUCUUCAAAUAUUUACCUUAUGUGAAAUGCAGAUUUACUGGGUGCUAACUGAAGUCUCACAAGAAUGUCACCAUUCACCUCACCUCAAUGUCUAAAUACCAAACCUCUUGUAAGCCUCUUUAGAAAAACAGCCACAGAUGUGUCUGUGGCUUGUGUUUUCCUGGACAUGCCCUAACGCUGGCAGAAUAAACCUCGGUUGAUUGAGAUAUUUACCUCAAUUGCUUCUUUCAGUUACCAGACCUGACCAUUGUUAAGCGUGUCCCAGAGGAUGUUGGGGACCAAUUCCAAGGAUCAAGAAAUUCUCAACUGGCAAGGGCUCCCCUGCCUUCCACCCUCCCCCCACUGUCCUUCCCAGCAGUCCAGGGUGCUGCCCACCCCGACUGUCUCCGACGAUGGCGCACGCCCCUGCCCUUGCCCUCCGUGGACUUUCUCAGCCGCCUGGGACGUGCCCUGCUGUGCCCCUGCAUCCCACUUGCUGCCCAGGGCGAUGCUUCAUGGUGACCUGCGACUGGCUCAGCAAUGAUGGACUCUCCUGGGAGGGUGAGGCCCUGGGUGCCAGAAACACUGCCUGUGUUCAGCAGCUGGAGUUAAAUUCCAGCUCCCAAGGGGUGUGGCGGGGAACAUGCUGCACUUGGCCACCACUACGGGUGGCCCAGACCCCACAUUAUCCCCAUGUCUGGAGCUCACAGGCCCCCUUGGAGGGGGCCAGCAACAAGAGCUGGCUUCAGAAUGAGCAAGCAGCUCAGGACUGCGUUCUUCAGAGUCCCUUGGAUCUGUUCUCAGGGGCAGGGCACGUUGGAACGCACGGGACAGGGAAGUGAUGACAGUUAACCCAAACUCAGUGAAGGGCACCACUGGGUUCCAAAUGAACCAUCGCUCCUCCCGACUCAGGCCCCUGGGGUCUCUCAGCCAGGCUUUUGGUUCCCGCUUCCAUCCUGGAUGAGGUGUCAUUCUGCGGGCCACAGGGCACAUGGCCAGGGCAGUCACCCAGCACCUGCGCCCGAGGGUCGCGUGGGUUGAGUGCUCCACCGUGGCUGUGUGGAGAUUCUGAGAAGUGCUCUCUUUGCAUCUGUGGUUUGUAAGGGAAGUCCAGGGGACAAUGGAGCCGGCACUGAGGGACUGGAACUUUGGCUCUUACGUGAUUCUGACUCCACCACCUCCCCAGGAGGGGCCUAGGUUGUGCUCCCACCUCAGCCCCCCCCCCACCCUGGGAAGUGACCUGCCUACUGCCCGUGGUCUCUGGUGGGCCUGGCAGCUGCCCCUGCCUUGGCAGCCAGUGCUACAGCCUCUUCUACUGCCCUCCAGGGACCUGGGGUGUCCUGUGCAGAGACUGUGGGUCAAUGCGGAGCCUUGGGAAUGGAGGUGACCUGGCGCAUCGGAGCCCUGUGGGGGACAGCCUGGGUGCCUUGUGGGCACAGCCUGCAAGGGACACAGUGCCCUCACACCUGCUUCUCACCUGGCCCAGCUGUGCUCUGCUGAGUCAAGACUGGAGUGGUCCUGUGGCCAUUUAGCAGAGUGGUUUUUAUGUCUGUUGAAUUGAAUAAUAAUAAAUCAGGGCUCAUUUUUUUUCAGCUCGUAGUUUAUCAAGCAAUUUCGUUUUCUUGGAUUUUACAAGCUGGCGAUGGGAGAGCUGGCUCUGCUCUGAGACGCACAGUAUAGCAGCCACCAGGCCCUGUAUUCGCGGCAGCUCUUGGACUCUGAGGUGCAUUCACUGAGGUGAGCUUCCAGGAGUAGUUUUUCCUACCUACAGACAGGCUGGAGAGCUGGAGUCCCACCUUGAGCUCUUUUGUUGGCCCUGUCACCAGCUUGUGUUUCCAUGAUCCGGCAUUUUUUUGUCAACAUGAAUAGGAGAGUCUUAGUGAUGUGCACUAAGCGCACACGUGCGUGACAGGCAGAGCCACGCUUCCACAGGACGGCAAGCGCAGACGUGCGUGACAGGCAGAGCCACGCUUCCACAGGACGGCAAGCGCAGACGUGCGUGACAGGCAGAGCCACGCUUCCACAGGACGGCAAGUGUGUGUGUCUCAGAGCUGGCUGUUUGCAGAUGGAAAAUACCUCAGCUAUGCUCAAAUGAAGAUGUAUUUUUAUAUUGAAAUCAUGUACUUUUUUCCUUAAAAGUCAUAAUGAAAUCUUCCAUCCAUGAAUCAAGAGCUCAAGCAGGAGGCCCCUGAGAACUGCGGGACACACAGUGUGUUGUUUCUGACCUUUGCCCUGCUGCUGUGAGAGGUCCCCAAGUGAACUUCCACAGCACUCCAUCCAGAGAAAGCCCGCACCAUGCACAUCUGGACGGUCAGCAUUCUGAGGACGUUUGAAAGCCUGGACCCCACCAUGUAGUUCCCAAGGUCAGCACCUUUCCCCACCACCACGGGGUGUGACACCUCCUCGUCAAGGACAAAUCUUAGGAUAUUCUUUAAACUGCGUGAUUUAUAAAAUACCCAGAUGGCUGUUUACUUCAGCUUGGCCUUCUGUGCAAACAAGGGACCGAGAGGUAGGCCCCUUUUCUGCUGGAAAUGGUCUUUUCCCAGUAUGUGUCCAAACCCGAGAAACCUCAAUGUGUCCAAGCCUGAGAAAACCCAAAACACACAACACGAUUUGGAAGUUCCCUUUUUUAGCGUAAUGGAAAUGUAAGCAGAAAUCAUCAACAUUCUCUGAGUGUUCUGAGAUUUUUUAAACAAAAACAUUUUAUUUCAAAGGGCAGAUAAGUAUUUUGCUAGACACAACUGAAAAAAACAGCCAGAGAA